rnacentral:rRNA from 1 species
GACCAAGGGUUCCUGUCCAACGUUAAUCGGGGCAGGGUGAGUCGACCCCUAAGGCGAGGCCGAAAGGCGUAGUCGAUGGGAAACGGGUUAAUAUUCCCGUACUUGGUGUUACUGCGAAGGGGGGACGGAGAAGGCUAUGUUGGCCGGGCGACGGUUGUCCCGGUUUAAGCGUGUAGGUGUGUGUUCCAGGUAAAUCCGGUUCACUUUAACACUGAGGCGUGAUGACGAGGCACUACGGUGCUGAAGCAACAAAUGCCCUGCUUCCAGGAAAAGCCUCUAAGCAUCAGGUAACAUCAAAUCGUACCCCAAACCGACACAGGUGGUCAGGUAGAGAAUACCAAGGCGCUUGAGAGAACUCGGGUGAAGGAACUAGGCAAAAUGGUGCCGUAACU